AGACGAGCGCCUGAAAGAGACUCCCUUCCUUACGACACACAUCUGAGGCUCGAUUCAGAACAUAAUAAAGUGUCAAAACAUAUUUUGAAGCUGGUAUAUAAAAGCAACCCAAACAACAGUAACAAGUUCUGUCGGUAUUUAGCUGUGAGUUACAGCAACAGACUAUGCAGACUAACACCGUUACAAACAGGAGUCCUAAUAUUCUAGCGCAUUUCCUUGAAAUAACAGGAUAACUCAAAGACGUCCUUCGGAAAGAAAAACCUCUAUAUCUCCAGAAAGCCUGGAUUGGAACUUUCACUUCCCAAAGUUAGAACUGGCUGUCUGAAAUUUGACCGCAUUUCAGCAAGAGGUUCAACGCAAAAUCAAAAGGUCAUGACACUAAACUGUGACUACAUUGACAAUAUUACUUCUAUUCCAACAGAGAAGAAGAUAAAAAUAAAUUACAAGUGGGGAAAACAAUGAAAAAGAAAAACAGUAAAAAGAAAAAAGAAUCAGGUAACAGAAGAAGUGGUAUUGUUUUGAACAGAGUUAGAAAUAGCAAUUCUUCAAGUGAGA